rnacentral:rRNA from 1 species
GGUCGUAUGAUGCGAUGGGGGGACGGAUCGCGGAAGGUUGUCUGACUGUUGGAAUAGUCAGUUUCUGCUUCAUAGAAGGCGCUUAGGCAAAUCCGGGCGCGGAAUUCAAGGGAGUGGGACGAGUGCACUUGUGCACGAAGCAAUCGGAAGUGGUUCCAAGAAAAGCCUCUAAGCUUCAGUCAUACGAGACCGUACCGCAAACCGACACAGGUGGGCGAGAUGAGUAUUCUAAGGCGCUUGAGAGAACUCGGGAGAAGGAACUCGGCAAAUUGGUACCGUAACUUCGGGAAAAGGUACGCCCCGGUAGCUUGGUCACUUUACGGUGAUAGGGCGAAAGGGUUGCAAUAAACUGGUGGCUGCGACUGUUUAAUAAAAACACAGCACUCUGCAAACACGAAAGUGGACGUAUAGGGUGUGACGCCUGCCCGGUGCUGGAAGAUUAAAUGAUGGGGUGCAAGCUCUUGAUUGAAGUCCCAGUAAACGGCGGCUGUAACAAUAACGGUCCUAAGGUAGCGAAAUUCCUUGUCGGGUAAGUUCCGACCUGCACGAAUGGCGUAACGAUGGCCACACUGUCUCCUCCCGAGACUCAGCGAAGUUGAAGUGUUUGUGAUGAUGCAAUCUACCCGCGGCUAGACGGAAAGACCCCAUGAACCUUUACUGUAGCUUUGCAUUGGACUUUGAACCAAUCUGUGUAGGAUAGGUGGGAGGCUUUGAAGCGGUGACGCCAGUCAUCGUGGAGCCAACCUUGAAAUACCACCCUGGUUUGUUUGAGGUUCUAACCUUGGUCCGUAAUCCGGAUCGGGGACAGUGCAUGGUAGGCAGUUUGACUGGGGCGGUCUCCUCCUAAAGUGUAACGGAGGAGUUCGAAGGUACGCUAAUUACGGUCGGACAUCGUGAUGAUAGUGCAAUGGCAUAAGCGUGCUUAACUGCGAGACCGACAAGUCGAGCAGGUACGAAAGUAGGACAUAGUGAUCCGGUGGUUCUGUAUGGAAGGGCCAUCGCUCAACGGAUAAAAGGUACUCUGGGGAUAACAGGCUGAUUCCUCCCAAGAGUUCAUAUCGACGGGGGAGUUUGGCACCUCGAUGUCGGCUCAUCACAUCCUGGGGCUGUAGCCGGUCCCAAGGGUAUGGCUGUUCGCCAUUUAAAGUGGUACGUGAGCUGGGUUUAAAACGUCGUGAGACAGUUUGGUCCCUAUCUGCCGUGGGCGUUGGAAAUUUGAAGGGGGCUGCUCCUAGUACGAGAGGACCGGAGUGGACGAACCUCUGGUGUACCGGUUGUCACGCCAGUGGCAUUGCCGGGUAGCUAAGUUCGGAAGAGAUAACCGCUGAAAGCAUCUAAGCGGGAAACUUGCCUUGAGAUGAGAUUUCCCGGAGCUUUAAGCUCCUUGAAGGGUCGUUCGAGACCAGGACGUUGAUAGGCUGGGUGUGGAAGCCAA